GAAUUAUUUUAAAAAAUAGAGAACUGCUCACUAUAUAUGUGCUAAAUAUAUACUAAUUGUUAUCCUAACCUAUCAGGAAAAUUUUUACUUAUUGCCUUCCUUUAUUUGGGAAGCAAAUUAACCCUUUAACAGAAAAUCUAAACUAUGAAUGAAAAUAUACACAUCAAGAAACACAUAAUUUCUAAUUUGUGUUACAAAAAGCUUAUCUGAAAGGCUAUGAUAUGUACAUAUUAGAAACUCAGUAUUUACUGAAUACUUUUCUAUUGAUUUAGUGGGUUUGCUUUCCUCAGACAUUUUUUCACAAUUACACAAAAACCCACUGGAAAUUCAACUUUUAAUAAAUUAUGUUUUUCUUUCAAACAAUGAUUCCUCAUUGUCCCACAAAAUUGAUAAGCUACCUCAUUAACAUUACCACAAUUUAAAUAAACACAAUUUAUUAAGUACUUAUUACGUGCAGGUGUUAAGGAUGCUGCAAAACACAAACUCAAAAAAAGGGUAAAUUUUGAUUCUUGCCCUCAAGAAGUUUACAAUCUUGAAAGACAAGACUUAAAAACAUUAAUCAUUCAGAUGUCUUGGAAGAUUGAAAAAAAAACAUUAGUCAGUAAAAGGACAUUAUAAAUUUUACUGAUAAAUUGAAUUAGCCAAAUUUAAACUGCUACAGCAAUACAUGAAAGGAUUCUUUAAAGUAAUUACUGAUUAGGGUUCUACUGAGAUUUUUAAAUGCUUCCAAAAUUAUAGUACCUCGCUCAUAUGUAAAAUGGUAUUAUUUGAUGAUGAUAGACUUCCUAUGUGGAUGUUCAGCUGGACUUUGAGGAAAUUACUAAUAAUUAGGAAUAGCUUUUAAUUAUUCAGGCUCCUAAGGUGAGAGAUAACAGUAAUGGUCUCAGUUUUGAUCACUCAGUUCUCUUAUUAAAAAUAUCUCAAGCAUGAAUCUUUCACUACAUGCAUAUUUAAAAUUAUAUGCAUCUAGGUAUUGUCAUCUAUAUAUUAAAUAUUAAUAAGGUUCAAAUUCCUUCUUUCUCUCCACUUUGCAUGAAUACUUAAUAUGAACAUUGAAACUCACAGAUCAUGCAAAAAUAUUUUUAUCUAACCAUUGCAGUAUCUUCACACAUCAAAUGUAUUUUUUAACAUAAAUGUUAAAAGGCAGCAGACAUGCAUUUAAAUUUCAGUUUAUUUUUCUCUCUACUCUUAAAAUACAUGUUAAUUUUCAAUGUAAUGAACAGCACUAAAAAGAAACAAAGGAUAGUAAUGACUAGGUAAGCGAACCCUAAAACUUCAUGGGAAAUAGUAACCAUUGAAGACCGUUAGUAUUAUUUUUCUUAUGUAUUUGUAAUUUAAUACCCAAUAUUGAUAAUGUAUUAUUUAGUAAACUGUCAAAAUCUUCAAAAUGAUUUGUCUCUCAUUACUAUAAUUCCAUUAUAAAGUCUAUUCAUUUCAUUUCCUUGCCUACUCUUUCGUUAAAAAAAAAUUAAGAACAUUUAAAACCAAAUGUCCAAAUAUAUUAUGCUUUAACCUCCAAAUAACUUUUUGUUAAAAUAAAUAUAACAAGAAUGUGAAACCAUGAAAGCCAUUUUGAGGUAAGACUCCUUUCUAAGACUAAGUUAGGUAGCAAUGCAAACAAAUAUUUAAAAUAAAUCUGAAUAUAUAUUUUUCAUCAAUGUAAUUUUAUAGAUUGUAUGAAUAUGUAUUUAGAGAACAUUUGUUUCUAUCUAAACUAUGGAAAUAUGAAUAUGUAAAUAUUAUAUGUAUUGAAUAGUAUGUAGGUUUACAUACAGAAAUAAUAUAUACAUAUGUAGCUACCUGAAAAACCCUUUUACAACAUCUUCCUAACAUACUGUUCAUUUUGAAUAAUCCUAAUACUUAAAGUCCACUUAAAUUUCUAUAUUAAAACAACAAAUAAACUUAGAACUACAGUGAACUAGCCACAUAGUAUUUCUACUAUGAAGAAAUAAAAACACAUUUUACAUUUAAAUAGGUAAGUCAAAAAAAUAAAACUACAUUUUACUGGAGCAUCAUUUUGGCCGCACUGAUUUUUAUCAAUUAUAGUAAAAGGCAUUAAGUUCACAUAUUUAAAUAUCAAACUGCAAGUCAUCAAAAGCUUGGCAUUGUUAGUAUACAAAAAAAAAGUUAAGCACAGUAAGAAGUAUGCUCAAAAAGCUUCUAAAAAUAAUGCUUUAUUCUUCUAUUAGUUAGAGUAAACUGCUUAAGUCUCUUAAUUUCUUCAUAUCUGAAGGCUGUUAAUAAAUAACAUUCCCAAAUAAGUAUUCAACGCCAGAAAUUAGCUUUCAUGAAGACAUUCUUAAUUUCAGUUAUUUCAGGAACAUAUUUGCUCUUUUAGCCACUCAAUAUUUUGUGAGAAAUAGUAUCUUUCUCUAAGAUUUGUGAAUAUUUGAUGUUUGCUACUAUAAAUUAUUUAAAGUGGUAUUUUUCAUUAAAAUAUGAAAAUAUAUACCUAUUGACAAUGAAACCUGUUUCUUUAUUAGUACAUGAAAGACUACUAAAUUCAACAACCUGCUUUUAAAAUGUACCUGAAUAGAGGUGAGUGUAUUAGUUCCUUCACAGAGGAACUCUACACUUUCAAUUGUAUAUUUCUGUGGAGAAUAUGGGAAACGUAUACUUGACAAAACGCAAAAGAAUCAUCUGAAUAACUCAUUUCAAGUAAAAAGAAAAAAGCCAAGCUGGAAAAACAUAAAAAGGUUACACAUCUUCUGAAUAACCUCUUUCACAAAGUAACUGAGAAAUCAAAUAACCAUAAAACAUUCAAAAGCAAACCUUGUAGAAACAAAUCUCUUUGCUACGCUAACCAGAAAAGUAGUCUCAGAGCUAAAGAUAACCCUGUCUGGACAGUUCCCUGGUGCUGAAGUUCCAGAGCCGGUAAACGCAUGCCUGGGUGCUGCUUUCACUCCUACCACCCUCAGAAAAACCCGGCCUGCCAAGACCGUGAGCAAGAAUAGUAGAACUUCACAAGGUAGGGAGCAUCCCAAACUGCAGUGAUGGUAGGAACUGGAGUCUCUUCAGGAUUAAACAGAUUUACUAGUUGCAAACAGGAAGAGCAGCAGAGUGCAGGGUGUUAGCACUCGCCGAGGGGGAGGGGCUGGAAGAUGGCGGCGGACGCACACCCACCCGACCGCGACAGAGCUUAGGCCCCUAGCCCGCGCCGCCGCCCGCUGCUCGCAGCCACUGUGGGCAGCCCUGCUCUGUCCCGCGUUGCUGGUAGAGCCGCCCCGCGGAGGCGUGGGACCAGGGUGGCGUCCGCAUCCCCUGCCAGCGCGCCUUCGCCCGGGUCCGUCCAGGGAGCACCUGUGCACGGCCAUAUUGGAUUCUGUGCCCCAGUCACUGCCUCAGCGCGGCGGGAAAGGAGAGGAGUUCAACAAUUUUUAUGAAUUUCUAAUCCAACCUCAUCAUCCUAUGGGAAACAGAAGACCACCAAGAACAGCCAGCUGAGACAGAAUUUCACUGUGUUGCCCAAGCCAAUCUUAAACUCCUGGUCUCAAGCGAUCCUCCUGCCUUGGCCUCCCACUGUGCCUGGCCUAUGGACUCUGAAUUUUUUUAAAAGACUGGAAAAAACUUUUAUAAGAGAAUUGGAAAUUUGGACAGUAUCUUGGCAGUAACCUCCUCCAUAUAUUUCCUUGGCCCUCAGCUUACAUCUAGCAAAAUGACUCUACUGGUUCCAGGCUUCACAUGCAUACAACAUGGUGUUGGAGGAACAGAGAUGUUUUCUCUUCCUGGUGUUUUCCCAGACAUUUCUUAGCUGGCAUUUCAAACAAGGGUCCUGAAAUUCACCCUGGUUGGGUCGUGUUCUCCCCUUCCCAUUCCCCAUCCCCACCCUCAACCGAAAAAUGAUGUAAGCAGGGGAAAUUGAAUGUACCAAUGUUUGUUUUUAAACAAGCCACAGACCCCUCCCCAACUCCCCGACUGAAGCUUGAAGUGGGAUCAGCUUUCCCUAAAGUACUUGAGCUUAUGGUAAAGCAUAUAUGUUAUCCAAGUUAAAGUCUGGACGCUGUUAGUAAUGGGAAGGCAAGUAAUGAAUGUUAGCUAUGGAGCCAACAGACAGUGUCCACUCCAUUGUCUUUAAGGCCCAACUAAAGAUAACCUCUUUACCAAUGUCGGUUUAUUUAUUCAUUUAUUUAUUCAUUGAGAUGGAGUCUCACUCUCUCACCCAAGCUGGAGUGCAGUGGAAUGAUCUCAGCUGACUGCAAUUUCUGCCUCCCAGGUUCAAGCAAUCUCCUGCUUCAGCCUCCCAAGUAGCUGGGAUUACAGGCGCACACCACCAUGCCCGGCUAAUUUUUGUAUUUUUAGUAGAGAUAGGGUUUCACCAUGUUGGCCAAGCUGGUCUCGGACACCUGACCUCAAGUGAUCUGCCUGCCUCGGCCCCCAAAGGUGUGAGCCACUGCACCUGGCUACAAUGUCAGUUUCUAUAAAAACUGCCUUGACUUGUUUUGUUUGCUUGUUUUGUUUGUUUGUGUUUUAAUUUUUAUUAUUUUUUUUUAGAGACAGGGUCUCAAUCUGUUGUCUAGGCUUGAGUGCAGUGGUGCAAUCAUAGCUCACUGAAGUGUUGGACUCCCAGGCUCAAGCAGUCCUCCCACCUCAGCCUCCCAAGUAGCUGAGACUACAGGCAUGCACCACCCUGUCUGGCUAAUUUUUUAUUUUUAGUAGAGAUGAGGUCUCACUAUGUUGCCCAAGGUGGCCUCAAACUCCUGGCCUCAAGUACUCCUGUGGCCUUAGCCUCCCAAAGCUCUGGGAUUGCAGGUAUGAGCCGCCAUGCCUGGCCUACUGUAUAUUUUAUGCAUUUGAUAUAAGUCUUGCCUCCCUAAGUAUAUUACAAGUCCCUUGAAGUUAAAGACAUUAGAUUCCUACUCAGUGCUGAGCUGCAACAGAGAGCACUCAAUGAUGGAUAAAAUAGUUUUAGCAUGCAUUCAGCGAUAUAUAUUUAGAAAGUGGAACUAGGUGGUUGAAAAAAGUGUAUAGAUGGGUGGAAGGGAAUAUUACAGCUCUUAGAAUUGUCCUAAGGUGAGAGUAACAAAUUAAGCAAUGAGUCCCUGGGUUCACUCAAGCAACUUCACUCUCUAAAACAAGAGCCCACAGAAUCCCAUUUCUGCUUUCAGAAUGAGUUUGAGGCCAAUAUUAUUUCCAUUUUUUUUCUUUUUCUUUCUUUCUUUUUUUUUUUUUUUUUUUUGAGACGGAGUUUCACUCUUGUUGCCCAGGCUGUUUUGAUCUCGGCUCACUGCAACCUCUGCCCCUGGGUUCAAGCGAUUCUCCUGUCUCAACCUCCCAAGCUGGGAUUACAAGCAUGCGCUACCACACCUGGCUAAUUUUGUAUUUUUAAUAGAGACGGGGUUUCUCUGUGUUGGUCAGGCUGGUCUCAAACUCCCAACCUCAGGUGAUCUGCCCACCUUGGCCCAGCCUCCAAUAUGAUUUUCUAAUAGCUGUGUUUGAUGAUUAUAUUUAUUCCUCCAUCAGUAGCUUUUUUAGCCUUGAAAAUAUCUAUUUAAGUUUCUUAUUUCCUUUGGAUCUAUCAAAGUGUUUUUCCCCAAGUGGCACCUGGGAAAACAUAUUCUAUUCAUUUAUUUUAUAACUGUUCCCUUGACCUCUUUAUUGCUUCCCUAUUACAACCCAAGAUGCUCUUGUAAACCUGACUUAAUAUUGGCAGUCUUCAUCCCUUGCAAAUGGAAGUGAUGACAGACCCAAUACUUUGUGUAAAAAUAUUUUGCUAUUUCUAUACAAAAUAUUUUAUUAAUGGAAACCACAUGUUAUGUAUUUUACAUAUGUUAUGACUUGAAAUUUAUGUUAUGACUUGAAAUUGGGGAAUCUGAUAUGUCUCUAAUAAUAAAGGCUUCACAGUA
rnacentral:lncRNA from 1 species